rnacentral:rRNA from 1 species
GACGAACGCUGGCGGCGUGCCUAAUACAUGCGAGUUGAGCGAUGAAGAUUGGUGCUUGCACCAAUUUGAAGAGCAGCGAACGGGUGAGUAACGCGUGGGGAAUCUGCCUUUGAGCGGGGGACAACAUUUGGAAACGAAUGCUAAUACCGCAUAACAACUUUAAACAUAAGUUUUAAGUUUGAAAGAUGCAAUUGCAUCACUCAAAGAUGAUCCCGCGUUGUAUUAGCUAGUUGGUGAGGUAAAGGCUCACCAAGGCGAUGAUACAUAGCCGACCUGAGAGGGUGAUCGGCCACAUUGGGACUGAGACACGGCCCAAACUCCUACGGGAGGCAGCAGUAGGGAAUCUUCGGCAAUGGACGAAAGUCUGGCCGAGCAACGCCGCGUGAGUGAAGAAGGUUUUCGGAUCGUAAAACUCUGUUGGUAGAGAAGAACGUUGGUGAGAGUGGAAAGCUCAUCAAGUGACGGUAACUACCCAGAAAGGGACGGCUAACUACGUG